CCUACGGGAGGCAGCAGUAGGGAAUCUUCCACAAUGGACGAAAGUCUGAUGGAGCAACGCCGCGUGUGUGAUGAAGGGUUUCGGCUCGUAAAACACUGUUGUAAUAGAAGAAUGACAUUGAGAGUAACUGUUCAGUGUGUGACGGUAUCUUACCAGAAAGGAACGGCUAAAUACGUGCCAGCAGCCGCGGUAAUACGUAUGUUACAAGCGUUAUCCGGAAUUAUUGGGCGUAAAGCGAGCGCAGACGGUUGUUUAAGUCCGAGGUGAAGGCCCACAACUUAACUGUGGAAGUGCUGUGGUACCUGGAUAACUUAGGUGAAGUAGAGGAGGAUGGAACUCAAUGUGUAGCGGUGAAAUGCGUAGAUAUAUGAAAGAAACCCAGUGUCGAAGGCGGCUCUCUGGACUGUAACUGACGUUGAGGCUCGAAAGUGUGGGUAGCAAACAGGAUUAGAUACCCUAGUAGUC
rnacentral:rRNA from 1 species